AUACGUAGGGGGCUAGCGUUGUCCGGAAUUAUUGGGCGUAAAGAGCACGUAGGCGGCCCGGUUAGUCCGCUGUAAAAGUCAAAGGCUCAACCUUUGAAUGCCGGUGGAUACUGCCAGGCUAGAGUCCGGAAGAGGCGAGUGGAAUUCCUGGUGUAGCGGUGGAAUGCGCAGAUAUCAGGAGGAACACCUAUAGCGAAGGCAGCUCGCUGGGACGGUACUGACGCUGAGGUGCGAAAGCGUGGGGAGCGAACAGGAUUAGAUACCCUAGUAGUCC
rnacentral:rRNA from 1 species